rnacentral:rRNA from 1 species
AUUGAACGCUGGCGGCAGGCUUAACACAUGCAAGUCGAGCGAGCGGCGGACGGGUGAGUAAUGUCUGGGAAACUGCCUGAUGGUGGGGGAUAACUACUGGAAACGGUAGCUAAUACCGCAUACCAUCAGAUGUGCCCAAAUGGGAUUAGCUAGUAGGUGGGGUAAUGGCUCACCUAGGCGACGAUCCCUAGCUGGUCUGAGAGGAUGACCAGCAACACUGGAACUGAGACAAGGUCCAGAAUCCUACGGGAGGCAGCAGUGGGGAAUAUUGCACAAUGGGCGAAAGCCUGAUGCAGCCAUGCCGCGUGUGUGAAGAAGGCCUUCGGGUUGUAAAGAACUUUCAGCGAGGAGGCGUUACUCGGAGAAGAAGCACCGGCUAACUCCGUGCCAGCCGCCGCGGUAAUUC